rnacentral:lncRNA from 10 species
GCGCCCCGCAGGAGCCUCCUCCUCCCGCCGGCGCGGCGCCUGUGCCCUGGUCCCGGUGUCCCCGCUCGGUGCCACCGAAGGAUCUAGGGGCUCGGGCCGGGGAGGGGGUGGAGGGGGGAGUGGAGGCGCGAUACGAACCCGUGGGAGCCUCCCCAACCCCGCAGUCCCAGCGGCAAACUGUGCUUGGUCGGACGGAUGCCCGCGCGGAGGGGUAGCCACGGGAGUGCCUCCGCCCAUGACAGCAGUGUGCAGGAAGCUGACCUGGAGCUGGGAAGCCGGGAGAAGGCACGUGGGGUUCCACCUAGAUAAACCCCAAAAAGACAGCUCCAGUGAGGGACUAGCAAACCUGAGACCAGAUUUGCAGGGGCCAGCAGCCGAGAUGGGGCACAGGCCCUACCAGAAGAGAGGAUGGCCUGCUACCCAGAAGCCCUUGGGGACUCCCUGGGGUUAAAGCACCUUCCCUGGUGCAGAUGUUUGUCAGCUCUCAGAGGCAGGCGGAGCCGGGAUCCCAUCCCCAGUGGCAGAUGAGAGGCCUGGAUGACCUGCGCAAGAGAUCCGUGCGUGGAGGUGCGGCCAGCAAGUCCCGGGCUAUGCUCCACGGUCGCUCCGGGGUCUGCACAUCACCUGCCCGGGUGGCAACCGGUUGAAGGCUUCCAAAUGUCCGACACCCCUCUCGAUCCUCCAAUCCCAGCUCCCCACCUGCCCAUCACCCCAUCACUAGGAAAGGAG